rnacentral:rRNA from 1 species
CCUACGGGAGGCAGCAGUGGGGAAUUUUGGACAAUGGGCGCAAGCCUGAUCCAGCAAUGCCGCGUGAGUGAAGAAGGCCUUCGGGUUGUAAAGCUCUUUUGUCAGGGAAGAAACGGUGAGAGCUAAUAUCUCUUGCUAAUGACGGUACCUGAAGAAUAAGCACCGGCUAACUACGUGCCAGCAGCCGCGGUAAUACGUAGGGUGCAAGCGUUAAUCGGAAUUACUGGGCGUAAAGCGUGCGCAGGCGGUUUUGUAAGUCUGUCGUGAAAUCCCCGGGCUCAACCUGGGAAUUGCGAUGGAGACUGCAAGGCUAGAAUCUGGCAGAGGGGGGUAGAAUUCCACGUGUAGCAGUGAAAUGCGUAGAGAUGUGGAGGAACACCGAUGGCGAAGGCAGCCCCCUGGGUCAAGAUUGACGCUCAUGCACGAAAGCGUGGGGAGCAAACAGGAUUAGAUACCCUGGUAGUCCACGCCCUAAACGAUGUCUACUAGUUGCGGGUUUUAAUUAACUUGGUAACGCAGCUAACGCGUGAAGUAGACCGCCUGGGGAUACGGUCGCAAGNUUAAAACNAANAGAGUAGAGNGNGAGAGNGCGAGACGACGAGAGGAGAG